UUAAAUUGAAGAGUUUGAUCAUGGCUCAGAUUGAACGCUGGCGGCAGGCUUAACACAUGCAAGUCGAACGGUAGCAGGAAGAAGCUUGCUUCUUUGCUGACGAGUGGCGGACGGGUGAGUAAUGCUUGGGGAUCUGGCUUAUGGAGGGGGAUAACGACGGGAAACUGUCGCUAAUACCGCGUAAUGUCUA
rnacentral:rRNA from 1 species